UACGUAGGGGGCAAGCGUUGUCCGGAAUCAUUGGGCGUAAAGCGCGUGUAGGCGGCUCAGUCAGUCCGUUGUGAAAGUCCAGGGCUCAACCCUGGAAUGCCGAUGGAUACUGCUGAGCUCGAGUCCGGAAGAGGCGAGUGGAAUUCCUGGUGUAGCGGUGAAAUGCGCAGAUAUCAGGAGGAACACCAAUGGCGAAGGCAGCUCGCUGGGACGGUACUGACGCUGAGACGCGAAAGCGUGGGGAGCAAACAGG
rnacentral:rRNA from 1 species